GUGCUCACUUCAGCAGGACAUAGACUAAAAUUGGAAUGAUACAGAGAAGAUUAACAUGGCCCCUACACAGGGGGAAACACAAAUUGGUUUGCACCCCAAUGUUUAU
ensembl:snRNA U6 U6 spliceosomal RNA